rnacentral:rRNA from 1 species
CAAGAAUGUUCCCGUUAAUCAAGAACGAAAGUUAGAGGUUCGAAGGCGAUCAGAUACCGCCCUAGUUCUAACCAUAAACGAUGCCAGCCAGCGAUCCGCCGAAGUUCCUCCGAUGACUCGGCGGGCAGCUUCCGGGAAACCAAAGCUUUUGGGUUCCGGGGGAAGUAUGGUUGCAAAGCUGAAACUUAAAGGAAUUGACGGAAGGGCACCACCAGGAGUGGAGCCUGCGGCUUAAUUUGACUCAACACGGGAAACCUCACCAGGCCCGGACACCGGAAGGAUUGACAGAUUGAGAGCUCUUUCUUGAUUCGGUGGGUGGUGGUGCAUGGCCGUUCUUAGUUGGUGGAGCGAUUUGUCUGGUUAAUUCCGGUAACGAACGAGACUCUAGCCUGCUAAAUAGACGAUUUCCGGUAUCCACAAUAGUGCUACCGGCGAAAUCAAUAUCUUCUUAGAGGGACAGGCGGCUUUCAGCCGCACGAAACUGAGCAAUAACAGGUCUGUGAUGCCCUUAGAUGUCCUGGGCCGCACGCGCGCUACACUGAAGGAAUCAGCGUGUAUACCCUGGCCGAAAGGCUCGGGCAACCCGUUGAACCUCCUUCGUGCUAGGGAUUGGGGCUUGCAAUUGUUCCCCAUGAACGAGGAAUUCCCAGUAAGCGCGAGUCAUAAGCUCGCGUUGAUUACGUCCCUGCCCUUUGUACACACCGCCCGUCGCUACUACCGAUUGAAUGAUUUAGUGAGGUCUUCGGACUGGUGCGCGGCGGCCGCCUGCGCGGCCACCGAUGCCACCGGGAAGAUGACCGAAC